GACGAACGCUGGCGGCGUGCCUAAUACAUGCAAGUCGAGCGAGCGGCGGACGGGUGAGUAAUGUCUGGGAAACUGCCUGAUGGAGGGGGAUAACUACUGGAAACGGUAGCUAAGACCGCAUACCAUCAGAUGUGCCCAGAUGGGAUUAGCUAGUAGGUGGGGUAACGGCUCACCUAGGCGACGAUCCCUAGCUGGUCUGAGAGGAUGACCAGCCACACUGUGACUGAGACACGGCCCAGACUCCUACGGGAGGCAGCAGUGGGGAAUAUUGCACAAUGGGCGCAAGCCUGAUGCAGCCAUGCCGCGUGUAUGAAGAAGGCCUUCGGGUUGUAAAGUACUUUCAGCGAGGAGGCGUUACUCGCAGAAGAAGCACCGGCUAACUCCGUGCCAGCCGCCGCGGUAAUAC
rnacentral:rRNA from 1 species